ensembl:lncRNA
CGGAAACAGAAGAGACACAAGAAGAAGAGCUCCCCUUCUGGACCAUGCUUAGCUCUCCAUAAAUAUACGCAUAAUGAAGUGUUUGAGUACUCACAGCAACACUGUGAGGUAAGUUUUUUUUUUUUUUUUUACUUUACAAUACUGUAUUGGUUUUGCCAUACAUCAACAUGGGGAGAAUGGCAUUGAGGUAAGCAUUUUUAAUGCUAUCAUCCCUUUGGGCAGCUGAGGAGCAGAGACCCACAGACAUUAAUGGAUGAAUGAAUCUGCAUAAAGUCACCUAGCUGGCAAGAGCUGAGUCAGAUUGGUGCCCAGGCCAGAGAAAAACAGCCAGGUGUGGUAUCAGACCCCCAAUCUGGAAUACAGUGCAGUGUCUGGUGUACGCUGGGUCCAAAGGCAGAUCAACCUCUCCAUCCGCAUGAAACAUCACUAUGGAUCUGUGUAUGGAUUGAACACAGCGUCUCCUAGGUGCGUGAAAGACCAUGGGGUGUCAUGUCAACAUGCACACAUCACAGAGAACAGUUCCUGGUCCAUACCGAGGUCUAAACAAUGUUUCUUUGACCGACAUUAGUACAGCACCCUCAUCACUAUGGAAAGUAGCAUAACCAUAGUGAUAAACAGAUAGAACCACAGAUACGAUAUCAUGAAGACAUUACCUCCCCCAUCUCGUAAUUUUCUUAAAUGCAGAGAACAAAACCUGGAAGGCAAUAGGCCACAUACUAAG